GACGAACGCUGGCGGCGUGCUUAACACAUGCAAGUCGAACGGACAGGCCCUGCUUUUGUGGGGUGCUCGAGUGGCGAACGGGUGAGUAACACGUGAGUAACCUGUCCUUGUAUUUGGGAUAUCUUCAGGAAACUGGGGCUCAUACCGGAUAGGAGCUCCUGCUGCAUGGUGGGGGUUGGUAAGAUUCGGCGGUUGGGGAUGGUCUCGCAGCUUAUGAGCUUGUUGGUGGGGUAGUGGCUUACCAAGGCUUUGACGGGUAGCCGGCCUGAGAGGGUGACCGGCCACAAUGGGACUGAGAGACGGCCCAGACGCCUACGGGAGGCAGCAGUGGGGAAUAUUGCACAAUGGGCGGAAGCCUGAGGCAGCAACGCCGCGUGCGGGAAGACGGCCUUCGGGUUGUAAACCACUUUCGCCUGUGACGAAGCGUGAGUGACGGUAAUGGGUAAAGAAGCACCGGCUAACUACGUG
rnacentral:rRNA from 1 species